rnacentral:rRNA from 1 species
AUCUCUGUAGAGUCUGCAUAUCAAUAAGCGGAGGAAAAGAAACUAACUAGGAUUCCCUCAGUAACGGCGAGUGAAGCGGGAAGAGCUCAAAUUUGAAAUCUUCAAGGUUCUACCUUGACGAAUUGUAGUUUAAAGAAGUGUUUUCUGUUGGAGUUUUGGUAAAAGUUCUUUGGAAUAGGACAUCAUAGAGGGUGAGAAUCCCGUAUUUGACCAUUAUUUCCAACUUUGUGAUACACUUUCAAAGAGUCGGAUUGUUUGGGAAUGCAGUCCAAAAUGGGUGGUAAAUUUCAUCUAAAGCUAAAUAUUGGCGAGAGACCGAUAGCGAACAAGUACCGUGAGGGAAAGAUGAAAAGAACUUUGAAAAGAGAGUUAAACAGUACGUGAAAUUGUCCAAAAGGGAAGCGUUUGACACCAGUGUUGUUUUCUCGAAAAUCAAUUAUGAUGGCUUGAUUUUAAGUUUCAUGACCUUAAAAGCUUGUUUCUUAUUUUUCAUGUCUUUCGUAAUGCACUUUUCGGUUAACAAGUCAACAUCAAUUUCUUUUGUUGUAAAGGGGUCAUUGGAAGGUGGCUUUCUUUUCGGAGAAAGUGUUUAUAGCCUUGUACUUCUGCAAUCGGAGAGAUUGAGGUCUGCAGCGUAGAUCCUUCGGGGUUAGAUACACUUGUGCUAAGUUAUAGCUUUUCAUAGACAACUUGUUGAUUAUGAUUAGUCUUGUAGCUUACUCGCUUAUGCUAUUUUACCUACGCUUAGGAUGUUGAGUAGCGACAUACGCAC